GACGAACCGUCCUAACGUUGUUCGGAAUCACUGGGCUUAAAGGGCGCGUAGGCGGGCUCUCAAGUCCGGGGUGAAAUCUUUCGGCUCAACCGGAAAAUAGCCUUGGAUACUGGGAGUCUCGAGCGAGGUAGGGGCGGGUGGAACUUCCGGUGGAGCGGUGAAAUGCGUUGAUAUCGGAAGGAACGCCGGUGGCGAAAGCGACCCGCUGGACCUCUUCUGACGCUGAGGCGCGAAAGCGUGGGGAGCAAACAGG
rnacentral:rRNA from 1 species